CACGUAGGAGGCGAGCGUUGUCCGGAAUCAUUGGGCGUAAAGAGCGCGCAGGCGGCUUGGCAAGUCGGGUGUGAAAUCCCGGGGCACAACCCGUGCUGCAUCGAUACUGUCAGGCUAGAGGUAGGUAGGGGAGAUCGGAAUUCUGGUGUAGCGGUGAAAUGCGCAGAUAUCAGGAGGAACACCGGUGGCGAAGGCGGAUCUCUGGGCCUUACCUGGACGCUCAGGCGCGAAAGCUAGGGGAGCGAACAGG
rnacentral:rRNA from 1 species